rnacentral:rRNA from 1 species
UACGGAGGGAGCUAGCGUUGUUCGGAAUUACUGGGCGUAAAGCGCACGUAGGCGGCUUUGUAAGUUAGAGGUGAAAGCCCCGGGGCUCAACUCCGGAAUUGCCUUUAAGACUGCAUCGCUUGAAUCCGGGAGAGGUGAGUGGAAUUCCGAGUGUAGAGGUGAAAUUCGUAGAUAUUCGGAAGAACACCAGUGGCGAAGGCGGCUCACUGGACCGGUAUUGACGCUGAGGUGCGAAAGCGUGGGGAGCAAACAGG